GAUCCUGGCUCAGGACGAACGCUGGCGGCGUGCUUAACACAUGCAAGUCGAACGAAGAGCGAUGGAAGCUUGCUUCUAUCAAUCUUAGUGGCGAACGGGUGAGUAACGCGUAAUCAACCUGCCCUUCAGAGGGGGACAACAGUUGGAAACGACUGCUAAUACCGCAUACGAUCUAAUCUCGGCAUCGAGGGAUAGAUGAAAGGUGGCCUCUACAUGUAAGCUAUCACUGAAGGG
rnacentral:rRNA from 1 species